rnacentral:lncRNA from 1 species
UAUGCCUAUGAGUUCUUAUAAAAAAAUUUACCUCAAAAAUGUGUGUGUGUGUGUGUGUGUGUGUGUGUGUGUGUGUGUGUGUGUGUGUGAGUGAGUGAGAGAGAGAGAGAGAGAUCUUGCACAAGUGGCGCAGCAUGCUGGUAGGGUUUUUUUUGGGGAUCCCUCUCCUCAUUGCAAACCAUUAGUAUAUAUAGGUGUUAUUUAGGGUUUUGAUAAAAUUUGAAAAUCCACAGAUGCCUUGAAGGAGCUUAUUAUUGCAAAAACUAGUUAAAAACAAAUUGAAUCGAAUAAAAUAACAUCAAUGGAAAUAAUCAAAGUUAAUUUGAAACAAAAAUAUAGAAAAUUCUAUUUAUUUAUAUCGAAUACUUUGACAAAAAAAAGGACUCAAAAUGAAUAAAAAUUGGGCGCGAAAGUGCUGGGAAAAAUAAAUUGAAUGCAUCUAAAUGAUCAAUGCGAAAUAAACUUUUGGAAAACAUACAAGUUUUGCUCAAAUUUUGAAGUAAAAAAUAACCGGUUAAAAGGCUCGGCCUGAUUAAAAUGUGAUCCGAAAAAAAUCAAAAAAAU